GACGGGGGGUGCUAGCGUUGUUCGGAAUCACUGGGCGUAAAGGGCGCGUAGGCGGCCUUGCAAGUCGGUUGGUGAAAGCCCGGGGCUCAACCCCGGAGGUGCGGCCGAGACUGCAGGGCUGGAGGCCGGAAGAGGAGGGUGGAAUACCCAGUGUAGAGGUGAAAUUCGUAGAUAUUGGGUGGAACACCGGUGGCGAAAGCGGCUCUCUGGUCCGGACCUGACGCUGAGGCGCGAAAGCGUGGGGAGCAAACAGG
rnacentral:rRNA from 1 species